UGCAACUCGUUGGUCAAACAACUAUUCAGAGUUCCUAGAGCUCCUUGUAAGGCUUGUUGGAAAACCCGUUGUCGGACUUGAUUAAUCGUUCGUUGUUGUUCAAAAUGAAUGGUUUCAUUUUUGUAAUUUUCUAAUUGUUCCAAAGUCUUAUAAGUUGAAUUAAUCAAAUUCAAUUUUUCUCGUUCUAUCUCAGAAUAUCCAUUCGUUCGAAACUGAUCUGCUUCUAUUUCCACUUUCCGUAAGCGGGCCCGGGCUUUUUCCAGCUGUUCAAUAGCCCCCUCGCGUAGUUUUUCUGAAUUUCGAAUAGUAUCCAAAAUCCUUUGUUUUCGAUUAUCUAAUAAAUCACUUAACACCCCCUUUCCAAAAAAAAUCAAUACACCAAGGACUACACUUAGAUUUAUUAGAUUUGUUGCUAAAAUAUCGGUAUUAAACCCGAAACUCCCGGCGGAUGGCCAGUGACCCAAGGAAACGAAAGAAUCGGUUAUAUUUUUCAUAUGAUCUCCCCUUUUCUUAUAGACUAUAGACAGACUAAUUAUUUAUUUUUUAUUUUUUUUUCUUAUUCUAUAUUUCUUAUUUUAUUUUAUAUGUGUAUAUGUUAUUGUAUUUUAUAUGUUAUUGUUUAUUAUUGUUCUUGUUUUUUUCUUGUUUUUUUUUUUUUUUGUAUUCUAUUUCUAAAUAGAGUAAAAAAAAUAUUCGAUUUCUAUUCGAAUUAUAAAUGCAUUUUUUUCAAUUUUCAAUUUGAAAUCUCUAAUACUAAUAAAUAUUAUUCUUAUUAAAAUUCAGUUUAGAAUUCGGUAACAGGUCUCGUAUUAAUUGCAAAACAAAAAAAAGCAAAAAGAAUAUAUCCUGUUGCAACAUUUCCUUAAAAAAAGGGUUUCGAUUGGACUAAGAAGGGGGAAGGAAAAAAGCGAGUUAGUAUACUAAUUCCUCAUCCUCAAAUCAGUCCUUCCCGUGGGUUAUUGUCCCAAUUAAAUAAGUAAUUGUAGGAAUUAAAUCUUAAUAUAAUUCGAAAAAACAAGCAGCGAGUCCAAGGCAAUAAAAAAAUACGUAUUUUUUUUUGUAUAGGAUUAAACAAAAGGAUUCGCAAAUAACAGUGCUAAUGCUACAACCAGUCCAUAAAUCGUUAAAGCUUCCAUAAAAGCCAGACUAAGCAAUAAAGUACCUCGUAUUUUUCCCUCCGCCUCGGGUUGUCUUGCAAUACCUUCUACAGCUUGGCCCGCGGCAGUACCUUGACCAACCCCAGGUCCAAUAGAAGCAAGCCCAACGGCCAACCCAGCAGCAAUAACGGAAGCGGCAGAAAUCAAUGGAUUCAUGAUAAGUUCCUCGCACCAAAAUAAAAUAAAGAAAAAGAAAUGGUUAAUGAUACAAUCAACCAAUAAAUUAUGACUUAAUUAUUCAUCCCAUCAAUAAGAUUUAUCCAGUCGAAGUAACAAAGAACUCCGAAUUGAAGUAAUAAUAUUAUUGAAUCAUCAGAACUACUUUGAUAUCUAGUUUUGAGUUCCUAUCCACAAAGUUUUUGUGAAUUCAUACAACUUUUUUGUUUUUCCAUUUCUUUCUUUGUUCCAAAUCAUUUUUUGAAUUCGAACUCUUCGUUCUUUUUCUUGAUUUAAUCUCUUUAUUCAAUAUUCAAUUCACAGUUACAAACGAAAAGAAAGGACUUUUAUUGGAAUCCCUAUCUAAAUCUCCAGUAGUCGGGCGGAUUAGAUAUUUUUUUUAACUCAUAUAUAACUAGUUAAUACUUAAUAUUACAUAUACACGUCCCUUUCCAUAACGUAAACCAACUAUUCGUAUCUUAGAUUUAAUCGGAUUCUAAAAUCAUUUUUUGAAACAUUCACAAAAAGAAAGUUAGCUUAUAGCCAUUAUAUAUAUAUAUUACAUAAUAAUUAUAGAUAUAUUACAUACACCCACCUAGUUUGAUUCCACUCUCCUAAACAAUCCAUUUUUUCUGAAUCUCAUUUUUUUUUAUAAAUUCUUCUCUUCCUUAUCAUUAUCCCGCAUGGAUACAAUCAAUCUAAGUGGACGAAUUCAUUAGUCUGAAUCAUUGCAUAGAAAUAUAUUGGUUGCUCUAAGUUCAUGUAAUUUUUUAUUUAUUAAUAUUUUCUUUUGGUCAAUCGUUGAAUUGAAUAAAACCGACUGAAAUGGAAAUCGCUCUAUAGAACCUCUUUUUUUAAUCACACAUUGUAAAUAAAUAAAGGAUUCUUAUUCAGAUUAUGAGUCCUAAAAUUGGAAUUGAAUGAACAAAAUAAUCAAGACAAUAUAAAGAUAAAGAGAAUGUUCAUUAGAAGAAGUUCUAAAUGAUCCAAACGAAUUCUAGGAAAAAGAUCUUUUAGAUCUCUUUCCUUUUUUUUUUUUUACAAUUCCCUAAUAUCGUAAUCUUUUUUUUACUAUUCCUUUAGAUCGUAUAGACCUUUUUGUCUAUUUCUAUUUAUGUGUAUAUUUAUGUUCACUAAGUAGAAGUAGAUUAUCUUGAACAAGGCAUAGAUUGCCUUACACUAAGCUAAAAAAGACUAUUUCGAAAAAAAAAUUAGUCAAUGAUGCCCCUCCAUGGAUUCGCCUAUAUAAGCCGCAGCUAAAGUUGCAAAAAUAAGAGCUUGAAUACCACUUGUAAAUAAUCCAAGGAACAUGACAGGUAUAGGAACCACUGAAGGUACUAAAGAAACAAGAACAACAACUACUAAUUCAUCCGCUAAUAUAUUGCCGAAAAGUCGAAAGCUAAGUGAUAAAGGUUUUGUGAAAUCUUCUAAAAUGUUAAUGGGUAAAAGGAUUGGAGUUGGUUGAAUGUAUUUACUGAAAUAACCUAAUCCUUUUUUGCUAAGACCCGCAUAAAAAUAUGCUAUUGACGUAAGUAAAGCUAAAGCAACGGUAGUAUUUAUAUCAUUCGUAGGUGCGGCUAACUCCCCGUGAGGUAACUGUAUGAUCUUCCAAGGUAAAAGCGCCCCCGCCCAAUUAGAAACAAAAAUAAAUAGAAACAUAGUUCCAAUAAAGGGGACCCACGGGCCAUAUUCCUCUCCAAUCUGAGUUUUGCUCACAUCUCGAAUGAAUUCAAGGACGUAUUCGAAGAAAUUCUGACCUCCAGUUGGAAUGGUUUGUGGAUUCCGAACAGCUACAAUGGCCGAACCUAAUAAGAUAGCAAUUACAACCCAAGAAGUAAUAAGCACUUGGGCAUGGACUUGGAAACCUCCUAUUUUCCAAUAGAAAUGCUGGCCUACUUCCACACCGGAUAUAUCAUAUAACCCCCUUAGUGUUAGUGUGUUGAUGGAACAUGAUAGAACAUUCAUAUUGCCCUCUGAAAGAAAGAAAACUUUAAAAGGAAUUAUUUUGAUUCAACCAUCUUUUUUUUCGACUUGUCCACUUAAAUUGUAUAUUUUAGAUACCAACAAAUCACAUAAUAUACAAAUCACAUAAUAUACCCAGUUAUCUCUUUUGUACGAUUCAGGAAUAGUAACCGAUUCCAUAAAUCUAUGGAGUUCACAAAAAAAUUUAGUUAUCUUAUUAUAAUUAUAAUUUAGUUAUCUUAUUUAAUCUAUCUUAUUAUUAAUCAGGGAUUUCGUAUAUAGCUAGAACGACCCUCACAAAUUGCAAAUACUAAUUUAUUAAGAAUUAAUCGGAUUGAAGCUAUAGCGUCAUCAUUCGUUGGAAUCGAAAUAUCUGCGAGAUCCGGGUCACAGUUUGUAUCAAUUAAACAAAUUGUUGGAAUUCCCAAAGUCAUACAUUCCCGAAGAGCCGUAUAUUCUUCUUGCUGAUCAACGAUUAUUACAAUAUCGGGUAACCCCGUCAUAUAUUUAAUCCCGCCCAGAUAUGUUUGCAAGUGAGCUAACUGUCUCUUCAAUCGAGCCGCAUCUCCUUUCGGAAGACGGUUGAGUCUACCUGCCUUUUGUUCCAUUCUCAAGUCCCUGAACUUUUGAAGUCUAGUUUCUGUAGUGGACCAAUUCGUUAAAAUACCGCCGAGCCAUUUUUUAUUAACAUAAUGACACCGAGCCCUUAUUGCAGCCCGCGCUACUGAAUCCGCUGCUUUAUUUUUGGUACCAACAAUUAAGAAUUGCUUUCUCCUACUUGCUGCAUCAAAAACUAAAUCACAAGCUUCUGAUAAAAAACGAGCAGUUCUAGUAAGAUUUGUAAUAUGAAUACCUUUACGCUUUGCAGAGAUAUAAGGUGCCAUUCUCGGAUUCCAUUUUCUAGUACCAUGACCAAAAUGAACUCCUGCUUUCAUCAUCUCUUCAAAAUUAAUGUUCCAAUAUCUUCUUAUCAUUUCUCCCCAUACUUCCUCUCUCUCUUUUUCUUUUUUUUUUUCAAAGAAAAAAGAGAGACGGGGUACCCUGAAAUAAAUAAUUGUUCCGAUGGAACCUUCUCUUUUCCCGGAGAUUGGACGUUGAUAUACGAUCCAAGCGAUUAAUUUCUUUCUAUUCUUUACUUUCUUUAUUACUAUUAACAUAACAAAUCACAUGUAACAAAUCCAAAUAAAUCACAGGACCGCGAUUAAUUAAAAUAUUAAUUAAAAUAAAAUAAAAGGAUGAAUCCGCUCUUAGGAAUCAUUAAAUCCUAUAAAUGAUUGUUCUGAUGUAUCAUAUAAAUUUUUGGAAAUGCAAGAAUCAAAUAACUCUCUGUGGUGGAAUAAGAUAUCUCUAUCUCUAAAUUCCCCCUCGAAUAAAUUCUUCUUUUUGGUUUUCAAAGGAAUGUUCUUAUGUUGCCUUGAGCCUUGCACUAAUCCUUUGAAUCCGGUACCAACGGGUAUCAUACCGCCUAGAACAACGUUUUCUUUCAGGCCUUUCAACCAAUCGAUACGACCGCGGAGAGCAGCUUUUGCUAAAACGCGAGUAGUUUCUUGAAAACUAGCCUCGGAUAUGAAACUUUGAGUAUUCAGAGAUGCUCGCGUUAUUCCCAAUAAUAUGGCCCCGUAACAGAUGGCUUCUUCCAAAGCGCGUCCCGUUCGUUCCGCUCGCAACAAUCCAAUUAGUUCUCCGGGUGAAAAAACAUUAGACAUUCCGUCUUCUGAAACCAAUACUUUUGAUGUUAUUUGACGUACAAUAAUUUCUAUAUGCCUAUUAUGGAUCUGCACCCCUUGGGAUCGAUAAACCUUUUGGAUCUUAUUAACUAAAGAGAUACGACUUUGCACUAUAGUUAGCUCAGUACCAAUCAAGAAUCCCCAAGGAAUUCCCAGAAUUCUUGUUAUACACUCGUUCCAACCCUCCACUCUCUUUUCUAGGUUUAUUGAUAUUGAAUCAAUUGAACGCACUUCUAACACUUGUUCCACUUUUGGAAGACCCUGCGUUAUAUCGCCAGAUCUCGAUUUUUCAUAUAUAAAUGUAACUAAUGUAUUUCCUUCGUAAAGGAUUUCUCCAUAAUGGCCAUGAACGGUUGCUCCUGGAGUGGCCAAAUAAGGCUUAGCGGAUCUUAUUACUACAGAGUCAAUGUGAACAAUUAUAACUUGACCCGAUUUUAGAUGUGGUCCGUUUUUGGCCAUACAUAAAUUUUCACAAAUAAACUGUCCCAGGCUAAUUAUUGUGAAGAAAGAUUCACAAUAAUUAUGAUGGAGAAAAUACCAAUUCAAAUUGAAUGGAUUCAAAACGCUGUUACUGCAUGGAUCGGGAUUAACAAUUCUCCCGUUUUCAUCCAUUAAAUAAUAUUUAAGUACUUGAAAAGUCUGUUUUAAAUUGUAAAGUUUCGAAUAUUUAGUUACCGAGAUCUGAUUAUGAGUUAUUAAAUUUAAAUGGUAAAAUAAAUAAAAAUUCGCAAUUUGAAGGGCUGUUCCUAAAGGGCCCAACGAAUUUCUAAUUGGAAUUAUAGGAUCUCUUUUAAUUGAUUCUUUUAUUACAUUGUGAUGUUUUACAUCGUUGAAUGGAUCCAUUUGAAAACAAUUAGAUGAUGACAAAAUUAUCAAAGAUUGACAUUCCUUAUUUAUAUUCAACAACGUACUAAUAGUUCCUUGAUUUUGUUUAAGUGAUUGUUGAACCCUUGUCUUGGAAUAAAUGGGAUAAAAUGGAUUAAUAUUGGUACGAUCUGACCCAUUAUUAGAGAUCGGUUCUGAACCUGAUGGAUCAUUCCUUUUUCUACCGAUAUAUGAAAUAUGGAAUUUCACUAGGUUGAUUCUUAGGAAAUCACGAAUCAGACCAUUUGUGCUUAUUUCAACAAAAGCAGCGCGGGCCUCUUCGAUAGAAGAACUUUUUUUGUCUUGGUCCCAAUUCAACACUAAACAAGUACGAACUAAUUGAAUACUUGUGUCAGAAAUUCCCCGAAUGGGUUUACCAGUCCCAUAAAGAAUAUAAUUGACAACUCGAAGUUUCAGAUUAUCCUUUUCCUGCAAUAGAUCCUGGGGGAAAAGUGUUUCUAAAUUUAUACCGUUCGCUAUCUCAUAUAUGAUUACUGGUCGAACCAAAACAAAAUACUUUUUCUUGGUAGGUGUGAUUCGUUGGAUAUAGAUCCAAUUUUUCACUUUUUUUGAUUCCUUAGAAUUUGUUUUUACCGUUCCUGGUGGUAUUAAGAUAUCACUGUGUCGGGAUAUUUUAUCUGUCUCUCCCGGAAAAUGGAUAUCUCCAGAAAAGAUUUUAAGUUCCAUUUUUUUUUUUUUUCUCUCCACUCGGACCAAUCCGCCCACCCGACUUCUUGUAUUUAAAGCGAUUUGUGUAUCUACUCCAAUAAUACUAUUGUUCCGUACCAUUAGGGAAGAAGAUUCGGGUAAAAUAUACACUUCCUCGGGAAUGAAAAAAAAGCGAUCCACUUUCGUUUGGUAUUUUGGCUUAAAUUCUUUGACUCCCCGAUACUCAAUCAAAUCCUCUUUUUUGACGAUUGAAUGCACCCCUAUAGCCCCAUAUUUAGUAAUUCCUGAACUCUUUUUUCGGUAUUGGGGAUCGUCGAAAUAAGCAAAAACACUAUUUCUACGGAAAAUACCAUUUAUAGGUAUCUCAAUCGAGAUAGCGGAUUGGGUCAUUAGUUCUUUCUCUCGUUCUUGAAUUGAUUGGAAUGGAAUGAUGAAUUUAUUUCUUCGCCUCUUUGCCAAUAAAUCAGAAUUCUUGUAGAGAAUAGUAGAAUAUAUGAGAUUACAAUGACCAGUACAUAUGCUUCGAUUAAGUUCUGAAUAAUCAGGAAUCCCACUUUCUUUUUUACCCGAAAAAUCUGAACUAAAGAAUUUGUGUUUCACUUGAUCAUUAUUUACGGAAGGACUAGAAAUAUAUCUUCUUUUGACAGAAAGAGAAUGAACAUUCAUUUGAUCUUGAUCCUUGUGUAGUGAAAAAGGAACUAUACUGGAUCUGCACGAACUUCCUGAUAAUAUCCAUAAAUGACUUGUUUUUGGUAAGAGAUGGACAUUACUAUAUGUAAAUUCGGGUGCAUGGUACACAUCAGUACUCCAGUGCAUUUCCCCUUCUGAAUCGGAAUAAAUAUGUUUUCGGACCUUCUCUUUAAAAUUCAAAGUGUAUGCUCCCGCCCGAAUUUCAGCAAUCACUUGUUCUGAUUCUACAUAUUGAUCAUUUUGAACUAAAAGGAAACUUUUUGGUGGAAUAGUCACGUUAUGUAUAAUAUCUUGACUCUUAAUAGUUACAUACAAGUCUAUAUAACAUAGAAAAGCAGGAUGCCCAUGACGUGUACGUAUGGGAUGAACCAAAUCCUCAUUAAAUUUGAUUUUUCCAUUAGAGGGGGCUCGUACAUGUUCUGCAGUACCCCCUGUGAAUACUCCGCCGGUAUGAAACGUUCUUAAUGUUAGUUGAGUACCCGGCUCUCCAAUGGAUUGACCCGCAAUAAUACCUACGGCUUCCCCCAAUUCUACUAGAUCGCCAUGAGUAGGACUCCGACCAUAACAUAAUCGACAGAUCCAAGACGUACUCCUACAAGUAAAGGGAGUUCGAAUAGAUAUUGUUUGUGUUCGAAAGGUUAUGAAUCGAUUGGCAAGCCCAAUCCCAAUAUCUUGAUUUCGAAUGGCAAUGCAUCGUAGACCCAUAUAUAUAUUGUCUGCUAAUACACGACCAAUGAAUGUUUGAAUAAAAAUUCUUUCCGGCAUCAUCCCAUUUCGAGGACUCACAGAGAUCCCUCGGGCGGUCCCACAAUCUGUUCUACGUACAACAAUGUGUUGAACUACUUCAACAAGUCUACGCGUAAGAUAUCCAGCAUCUGAUGUUCGUACAGCAGUAUCGACAACCCCUUUUCGGGCUCCAUAGCAAGAAAUGAUAUAUUCUGUUAAAGACAGUCCCUCGCGUAAAUUGCUUUGAAUGGGUAAAUCAAUCAUUUGUCCUUGUGGAUCCGACAUUAAUCCUCUCAUACCUACUAAUUGGUGUACUUGAGAUGUAUUUCCCCUAGCUCCCGAAAAAGACAUUAUAUGGACUGGAUUAAAGGGUUCCGUCAUCCUAAAAUUCAGGUUCAUUUCUUGUCGCAAAUAUUCACUUGUAGCAUACCAUAUCUCAAUAGAUUGGCGUAAUUUUUCUACCGCGUGUACAUUUCCAUAAUGAUAGUGUUUUUCCAAAAUCAAACUUUGUUGUUCAGCAUCUUGGACUAGCCAUCCCUUAGAAGGUAUUGUUAAAAGAUCAUCAAUUCCUAAUGAAAUGGAUGUAGCGGUGGCUUGCUGGAAACCCAGAGUCUUUACUUGAUCCAGGAUGUGUGAUGUAUAUGCCAUUCCAAAAUGAUCUAUUAAUCUGCUAAUAAGUCGUUUAAUGGCAGUUCCAUCUAUCGCUUUAUUGUGAAAGACCAGAUUGGCCCGUUCGGCCAUAAGUACCUCCAUAUUCCGCUGAGUAGGGUUCGACAAUGGAUUUGAGUCAAUGAUUAGAAACUUCCUUUUCUCGAUCUUGAUUUGCGUAUAAAUUCAGGAACUAUGGUCCUAGUUGAGGCGAAGAGAUUGGAAUUCAUGUCAGUAUCAUAGAAUUACUUAGCUUAGAUCCCUAUGAUUAGAUUAGAUACCAUCUGAGCAGGCUUGGCAAAACCCUUGUAUAGCUUCUUCGAUUUCUCGAUAAAGAGAAAUAUGACCAACAGUAGUUCGAAUGUAUAUACAAAGAAUUUCUUUUUUUAUAUUUCUUACUAUUAGAUAGUGUUCAUAAAUCUCAUGAUAGGUACCCAAAGAUUCAUAGUGAACUUCGAUGGGAGCUUCUCUUGAAGUAAUAGCGCGUUGAUCUAGCUGCCACCGGAGCCACAAAGGACUAUCUAAAUGGAUUCUUUUCUGCCGAUAAGCGCCAAGUGCAUCAUAGGAAUUAGAAAAAAGGGGUUCUUUCGUAUAUUUAUCGUUAUUACCGUCAAUUCUUUUAUUUUGAUAAUUUCUGCGAUUACAUGGAUUAUACCUAUUUGCACAAAUACCUCGACGAUUCCCGCUUGUUAAUACAUAGAGCCCAAUAAGCAUAUCUUGAGUUGGUACGGAAAUGGGAUCUCCAAUAGCUGGAGACAGAAGAUUCAUAUGAGAAAACAUAAGUAAACGAGCCUCCGCUUGAGCCUCCAACGAUAAGGGUACAUGAACAGCCAUUUGAUCCCCAUCAAAGUCUGCAUUGAAUCCCUUACAAACUAAUGGAUGUAAACAAAUAGCGCGGCCUUCCACUAAAAUGGGUUGGAAUGCCUGUAUGCCUAAUCUAUGCAGAGUCGGCGCUCUAUUCAGUAAUACUGGAUGCCCCUGCAUAACUUCGUGAAGUAUUUCCCAUACAAUUGGCUCUUUUUCCCGAAUUUUACUCUUAGCAACUCCUAUGUUCGAAGCAAGAUGUUGUCUAAUUAGACCACGAAUUACAAAUAUCUGGAAAAGCUCUAUUGCUAUUUCGCGAGGCAAUCCACAUCGAUGUAAUGAAAGUGAGGGGCCUACGACAAUGACAGAACGCCCCGAAUAAUCAACCCGUUUGCCAAGCAUAGUCUCACGAAAUCUUCCUUCUUUGCCUUCAAUUACAUCCGAAAACGACUUGUAAACCUUAUUAUGACCGUCCCUCAUUGGUUGUCCGCGGAUUCCAUUAUCAAGAAGUGUAUCCACGGCUUCUUGUACCAAUUUCUCCUGACACAUUACUAAUUCCCCUGGGGUAGAUCUACUUGUUGUUAAUAGAUCAAUAAG
rnacentral:lncRNA from 1 species